UACGUAGGGCGCAAGCGUUGUCCGGAAUUAUUGGGCGUAAAGAGCUCGUAGGCGGCUUGUCACGUCGGGUGUGAAAGCCCGGGGCUUAACCCCGGGUCUGCAUUCGAUACGGGCUGGCUAGAGUGUGGUAGGGGAGAUCGGAAUUCCUGGUGUAGCGGUGAAAUGCGCAGAUAUCAGGAGGAACACCGGUGGCGAAGGCGGGGUCUCUGGGCCGAAACAUGAUCGACGCUGAGGAGCGAAAGCGUGGGGAGCGAAACAGGAUUAGAACCUUACCGUAGUCAGAUC
rnacentral:rRNA from 1 species